GAGGACGGCGAGCGAGCAGCGCGGAGAAUACGUAGUGGUCGGGGGUGGUCCGGGUGGACUGUGCGUAAAGCGCAUGGAGGCGGCGCGUUCGGCAGGGGGUGAAAGCCCGCGGAUUAACCGGGGAGGGGCGUCGUGUACGGGUGAGCUUGAGGGUAUCAGGGGCUGGUGGAAUUCCCGGUGUAGUGGUGAAAUGCGUAGAGAUCGGGAGGAACACCUGUGGCGAAGGCGGCCAGCUGGGAUACACCUGACGCUGAGAUGCGAAGGCGUGGGGAGCGAACGGGAUUAGAUACCCCGGUAGUC
rnacentral:rRNA from 1 species